CGAUUUUAUUCAAUUAUAGUGGAAAAUAAUAUAAAUUGUUUGCGUUGAUAGCAAGAUAUUCGUAUGUAUUUAAUGUUGCCAAGUUAGAGUGUCUUACCAAGGGUCAGGAGUCCCUUUUUACCCUUUAAGGAUUACUUACGUUGGUCAUGAACUUCUCUUACAUUGCUUUAAAGGAUAUAUAAGGAUAUCCACCACAUUUACAAUCUGGGAUACAACAGGGAAAAGAUAUUACCGAAGGAGUUUCAUUGGAAAGAACAGUCAUGCUGAGAGAGAAAAAAAUUGUAAUACCAACCGCCCCAAUUGCUUUCAGAACGG